CAGUAGUAGCAGAAGAUGCCAGUUUCUGCCUCUCACGGCAGGAGCCAUGCAAUGUCUGCCAUUUCCUUACUGUGACUGUGUCAUCCAGCAAGGCCAGUGCGGCUCCCAGCAGUUGGGAUCCUGAAGACCCAGAAGAGCCAAUGGUGCAGUUCCAGUCUGAGUCCAGUCCAGUUGGAGCCCAGCCCUGAGAAGCAUGCGAGCCUGCAGUGUAACUUGAAGUCUAAAAGUUGGCAGAACUUGGGACCCAAAACAAGACUAAAGCAAGACUAAAAGCAGAAAAAGACUGAUGUUCCAGCUCAGGGAAGUCAAGCAAGAGGAAUUUCUUCUUACUCUUAACAAUGAACAGGGAGAGAAAACAAGUGGACCAAGACACACCAAGGAUCCCUGAGACUGGCGGACUCUAUCUCUGCAUGAAGCUCCCAGUGAAAUCUACAGCAGUUCUGAGCACGGAGGAGAGUGUGAUGAGAGACUCAGGUCCUACAUCUUUCAGCAUAUACGUGUCAACCAAAAUCAAAACAAAAGAAAAAUUCCUAAUAAUUUUAACAUUUGGUACAAAAAAAUCUCAAAUGGAAAAUGCUAUGCCUGACUUACCCAAUA